rnacentral:rRNA from 1 species
UGGGGAAUAUUGCACAAUGGGCGCAAGCCUGAUGCAGCGACGCCGCGUGCGGGAUGGAGGCCUUCGGGUUGUAAACCGCUUUGUUCAAGGGCAAGGCAGGCUUUCGGGCCUGUUGAGUGGAUUGUUCGAAUAAGCACCGGCUAACUACGUGCCAGCAGCCGGGUAAUCUCACGCU